CUGGAGUGCUUAAAGGGUAGUUCCUCUUAUUCAAUAAGGCAGAGCUUGACGGUUGCACAGUGUGGACCAUCUCAUUUUCCCAGAUGCCAGCGGAGGGGUUGCAAGGCCACCUCUGGAGGUUAACAUAGAGCAUGAUUUCUAAUCGAAGCUUCCAUCGGUUGACGUAUCUUGGUGUCAAGAUAUCUCGGAGACACUCUCCUUAGCGAUGUUGUAACAAGUUGUGUGCUCUUCCUUAAAGAUAGACA
rnacentral:lncRNA from 1 species